CAUUGAAAGUUUCUUCGGUCUGGGGAGGGGCCUAUGGUCCAUCAGCUAGUUGGCGGGGGUACCGUCCCACCAAGUCUAUGACGGAUACCAGUCGCGAGAGCGUGCCCUGCCUCAUUGGAACUGAGACACUGUCCAAACACCUACGGGUGGCUGCAGUAGAGAAUAUUCCACAAUACACGAAAGUGUGAUGGAGCGACGCCGCGUGUCAAAAGAAGGCCUUCGGGUCGUAAAUGACUUUUCUCAGGGACGAAUUUAUGUCGGUACCUGAGGAAUAAGGGGUUGCUAACUCUGUGCCAGCAGCAGCGGUAAUACAGAGACCCCAAGCAUUAUCCGGAUUUAUUGGGCGUAAAGCGUACGUAGGCGGUUUCGUAAGUCAUCUGUUAAAUCUUCAGGCCUAACCUGGAGCCUGCGGGUGAUACUGCGAGGCUUGAGUAUGGGAGAGGUAAGCGGAAUGCCCGGUGUAGCGGUAAAAUGCGUUAAUAUCGGGUAGACCACCAAAUGCGAAGGCAGCUUACUGGAACAUUUCUGACGCUCAGUGUACGAAAGCGUGGGUAGCGAAAGGGAUUAGAUACCCCUGUACUCCACGCCGUAAACGAUGACACCUAGUUUUUGGCAGUAUCGACCCUCCCAGAGACGACAACCCAAGCUACCGCGUUAAGUUCUCCCCCUGGGAAGUACGCCCGCA
rnacentral:rRNA from 1 species